AACGCACAUUGCGCUCCCUGGCAUUCCGGGGAGCAUGCCUGUCCGAGCGUCAUUUCUGCCCUCAAGCGCGGCUUGUGUGUUGGGCGUGGUCCCCCCCCCUACCGUUGGGGGGGACCUGCCCGAAAGGCAGCGGCGACGUUCCCGCCCAGGUCCUCGAGCGUAUGGGGCUUUGUCACCCGCUCGGGACGGACCUGCGGGCGUCGGUCAAUCCACCAUUCUUUUUCCACGGUUGACCUCGGAUCAGGUAGGAGUUACCCGCUGAACUUAA
rnacentral:misc_RNA from 1 species